rnacentral:rRNA from 1 species
CACGUAGGGUGCGAGCGUUGUCCGGAAUUAUUGGGCGUAAAGAGCUCGUAGGCGGUGUGUCGCGUCGGCUGUGAAAACUCGCAGCUCAACUGCGAGCCUGCGGUCGAUACGGGCAGGCUAGAGUUCGGUAGGGGAGACUGGAAUUCCUGGUGUAGCGGUGAAAUGCGCAGAUAUCAGGAGGAACACCGAUGGCGAAGGCAGGUCUCUGGGCCGAUACUGACGCUGAGGAGCGAAAGCGUGGGGAGCGAACAGG